CUUGACAUCCUAAACUCUUUGUUGACAUAUUUUUGAUGUUUCCUUUCAGAAAACUUUCUUCAAAAAUAUUAAUUUUUGAAUUGUUGGCUUCUCGGGUGAUUUUUGUUGUCCGUUGGUGAUUUUGGCCCACGUGGGCUGUCUGUUCAGUACACACAGGACGUCCUUGUGUGUCCGUCAGCACAUACAGGACGUCCGUGGCUGUCCGUGUGUGUCCGUCAGCAUACACAGAACGUCUGUGGCUGUCCAUCAGUACACAUAUCAGCACGCUGGACCUUGGACUCAGCAUGCUGGCCCUUCCCAUGGACUGUUUGGGUGAUUUUGGCCCACGUGGGCUGUCGGUUCAGUACACACAGGACGUCCGUGGGUGUCCACCAGCACACACAGGACGUCCAUAGCUGUUUGUGGCUGUCCAUCAGCACACACAGGAUGUACGUGGCUGUCCGUGUGUGUCCGUGUGUGUCCGUCAGCACAAAAAAGACGUCCGUGGCUGUCCGUGUGUGUCCGUGUGUGUCCGUCAGGAGACAUAGGAGGUCUCUGGCUGUCCAUCAGUACACAUAUAAGCACGUUGGUCCUUGGACUCAGCACGCUGAUCCUUCCCGUGGACUGUUCGGGUGAUUUUGGCCCACGUAGUUUGUCUGUUCAGUACACACAGGACGUCCGUGGGUGUCCGUCAGGACACACAGGACGUCUGUGUGUGUCCGUCAGUACAUACAGGACGUCCGUGGCAGUCCGUGUGUGUCUGUGUUUGUCUGUCAGCACACACAGGACGUCCGUGGCUGUCCAUCAGUACACAUAUCAGCACGUUGGUCCUUCCACUCAGCACGCUGACCCUUCCCGUGGACUGUUCGGGUGAUUUUGGCCCACGUGGGCUGUCUGUUCAGUACACACAGGACAUCCGUGGGUGUCCGCCAGCACACAUAUGACGUCCGUGGUUGUCCGUGUGUGUCCGUGUGUGUCCGUCUGUGUCCGUCAGCACACACAGGACGUAUGUGGCCGUCCAUCAGUACACAUAUCAGAACGUUGGUCCUUGGACUCAGCACGCUGGCCCUUACCAUGGAAUGUUCGGGUGAUUUUGGCCCACGUGGGCUGUCUAUUCAUUACACACAGGACGUCCGGGGGUGUCCAUCAGCACACACAGGACGUCCUUGUGUGUUCGUCAGCACACACAGGACGUCUGUGGCGGUCCGUGUGUGUCUGUGUGUGUCCGUCAGCACACACAUGACGUCCGUGGCUGUCCAUCAGUACACAUAUCAGCACGAUGGUCCUUGGACUCAGCAUGCUGACCUUUCCCGUGGACUUUUCGGGUGAUUUUGGCCCACGUGGGCUGUUUGUUCAGUACACACAGGAUGUCCGUGGGUGUCCCCUAGAAGAGACAGGACGUCAGUGGCUGUCCGUGUGUGUCCGUGUGUGUCUGUGGGUGUCCGCCAACACACACAGGACGUCUAUGGCUGUCCAUGGCUGUCCGUCAGCACACACAGGACGUCCGUGUGUGUCCGUCAGCACACACAGGACAUCCGUGUGUGUUUGUGUGUGUCCGUCAGAGCACACAGGACGUUCGUGGCUGUCCAUCAGUACACAUAUCAGUACGCUGGUCCUUGGACUCAGCACGCUGGCACUUCCCGUGGACUGUUUGGGUGAUUUUGGCCCACGUGGGCUGUCUGUUCAGUACACACAGGACGUCCGUGGGUGUCCGCCAGCACACACAGGAUGUCUGUGGCUGUCUAUGGCUGUCUAUGGCUGUCCAUCAGCGCACACAGCACGUCCGUGGCGGUUCGUGUGUGUCCUUGUGUUUUCGUGUUUGUCCGUCAGCACACACAGGACGUCUGUGGCUGUCCAUCAGUACACAUAUCAGAACGCUGGUCCUUGGACUCAGCACGCUGGCCCUUACCGUGGAAUGUUCGGGUGAUUUUGGCCCACGUGGGCAGUCUGUUCAGUACACACAUGACGUCCGGGGGUUUCCGUCAGCACACCCAUAUCGUCCUUGUGUGUCCGUCAGCACACACAGGACGUCUGUGGCUGUCCGUGUAUGUCCGUGUGUGUCCGUCAGCACACACAGGACGUCUGUGGCUGUCCAUCAGUACACAUAUCAGCACGAUGGUCCUUGGACUCAGCACGCUGACCCUUCCCGUGGACUUGUCGGGUGAUUUUGGCCCACGUGGGCUGUUUGUUCAGUACACAUUGGACGUUCGUGGGUGUCCGCCAGAACAUACAGGACGUCCGUGGCUGUCCGUGUGUGUUCAUCUGUGUCCGUCAGCACACACAGGACAUCCGUGGCUGUCUAUCAGUACACAUAUCAGCACGUUGGUCGUUGGACUCAGCACGCUGGCCCUUCCGUGGACUGUUCGGGUGAUUUUGGCCCAUGUGGACGGUUUGUUCAGUACACACAGGACGUCUGUGGGUGUCCAGCUGUUCACUCUACUAGUGAAUUCAUCAGUUGGUCAAGCUAAACCUGUAGCUACGGCUACACCUAUUGCUACGGGUCCAGUUGUGGACGCGGUUGAGGUGAUCGAGAUCGAUUGACCGGAAAGGUUUGUAAAGAAGGUUGACUAUCUGAGUUUGCUUCAACAUCUAUCCAGAUUGGGUACGAAGCAAUUCUCAGGUAGCACCAACCCUGUUGUGGAAGAUGAGUGGAGGAGUAGGCUGGUCUGAAACUUCCAAUCAACUCGCUGUCCAGAGGAUUACAGGCGAGACAUUGCGGUUCACUUCCUCGAAGGGGACGCGCAUAAUUGGUGGCUUGCAGUGGACAAGCGCACCAAUGGAAGUCUCACAAGUUUUGCGGAUUUUGAAGUUGAAUUCAACCGCAAAUACUUUCCUGCUGAGGCUUGGGAUCGUCUGGAAGCUAAGUUUCUAGAUUUGGUCCAAGGCCGCAAGACAGACGCAAAUACUUCCCUGCUGAGGCUUGGGAUCGCCUGGAAGCUAAGUUUCUAGAUUUGGUCCAAGGCCGCAAGACAGUACGGGAGUACGAAGAAGAGUUCAAGCCAAGGAGCCGUGAAGGCUCGGUAAAUGAGAGGCUAUGUAACGUGUUGUUAGAUGAUGCUAGGGAUGAACUAGUGACUGUCUCUGAAACGAUUAAGAAAUUGUGUAUCGGAUCUCAUGUUUCUAAGUAAUACAUUUUAUACACAUUUAUAUUCCGCUGUGCUAUCUGUUCAAUUGUUUUAGAACCUCAGAUUCCAACAUGACAUAGUAAAUGAAAGACUUGAAAUGAAUCAAACAAGCAAAGGAUUGAUUAUAUAGCAGACUGGUCCAGUUUUGUUGAGAGGCCGGAUUCGGGUGUUACACGUAACCCAGCUUCCAGUUCAUCUCGAAUCGGCAGUUCUGCGUACCAAAAAUGGCCCACUUGGAGCUCUCGAUUCCGUGGGAUGGGUCAACAAAGCCGCCACCCCGCCCUACCUAUUUAAAUUUUGAGAAUAGGUCGAGGACAUUGCAUCCCUGAUGCCUCUAAUCAUUGGCUUUACCCGAUAGAACUCGUUUCCUAGCUCCAACAAUCCUGAGGGAAACUUCGGAGGGAACCAGCCAUUAAAUGGUUUGAUUAGUCUUUCGCCCCUAUACCCAAGUCAGACGAACGAUUUGCACGUCAGUAUCGCUGCGGGCCUUCACCAGAGUUUCCUCUAGCUUCGCCUGGCUCAGGCAUAGUUCACCAUCUUUCGGGUCCCGACAUGCAUGCUCACACUCAAACCCUUCUCAGAAGAUCAAGGUCGGUCGGUUGUGCACCUGUGAGGGAUCCAGCCAAUCUGCUUCCUUGCGCCUUACAGGUUUACUCAUCCGUUGACUCGCACACAUGGCAGACUCCUUGUUCUGUGUUUCAAGAUGGGUCGAAUGGGGAGCCCACAGCCCGACACCUUGAGCACGCAGAUGCCGAGGCACGCCGUGAGGCGUGUGCUGCAGACCACGAUUUAGGCAGCAACGUCUCUGCGGGCAUAACAAAAGCCCGGGCUUAGGUCACCACCUUAAUCUGUGUUGGUCCACGGCCCGAAUCUAUCAGCAAACCGGAUUGCUCCAUUCUGCAUCUAACCGGGACGAAUCGCCGGCCCCCAUCCGCUUCCCUCCCGACAAUUUCAAGCACUCUUUGACUCUCUUUUGAAAGUCCAUUUCAUCUUUACCUCGCGGUACUUGUUCACUAUCGGUCUCUUGCCCAUAUUUAGCCUUGGACGGAAUUUACCGCUCGAUUGGGGCUGCAUUCCCAAACAACCCGACUCGUAGACAGCGCCUCGGGUGCGACAGGGUCCGGGCACGACAGGACUCUCACCCUCUCUGGCGCCCCUUUCCAGGGAACUUGGGCCUGGUCCGUCGCUGAGGACGCUUCUCCAGACUACAAUUCGAACGCCAAAGACGUCCGAUUUUCAAGCUGGGCUUUUCCCGGUUCGCUCGCCGUUACUAAGGGAAUCCUUGUUAGUUUCUUUUCCUCGGCUUAUUGAUAUGCUUAAACUCAGCGGGUCAUCCAGCCUGACCUGGGGUCGCGUUGAGGACUUUGGGUCAUCAAGACCUUUUGGACCGGAUCGUCUGACUAUAGGACGAGAAUUGAAUUCACCAGCGCAUGUCAAGACGCUCCUGGCAUCCUUAGUUCGGAUUUUGGCCAACCGCGUGCGGUAUCACACGGGAAAUCAGCUUCGUCCCAUAUCAUCGAGAGGAUGGGGGGACGACGAUUUGUGACACCCAGGUAGACGUGCCCUCGGCUAGAAGGCUUGGGGUGCAACUUCCGUUCAAAGACUUGAUGGUUCACGGGAUUCUACAAUUCACACCAAGUAUCGCAUUUUGCUACAUUCUUCAUCGAUGCGAGAGCCGAGAUAUCCAUUGCCAAGAGUCAUUUUAGAAUUUACAUUGCAGCACUGCUUCCGAACAAACACCGUCUCCGGGGUGGAGAAAGCAGGCUGUUUAGUUGCUUUUUCCUUGACACUUUUCGUGCUGGGUUUGGUGAUAUCUGGAAGCUAUGCGUACGAUCCAACCAUAACGGACGUCUUGGGCAUGGAUGAACGCAUAACCAAGGAUUCUGUAGGCACAAUAAGAAACUGGCCUACCGAGAGUGAUGUUUCCAGGGUACGACAAUGAUCCUUCUGCAGGUUCACCUACGGAAACCUUGUUACGACUUCUCCUUCCUCUAAAUGAUAAGGUUUAGUGGACUUCUCGUGACGUCGCAGACGGAGAACCACCCACGUCGCCACGAUCCGAACACUUCACCGGAUCAUUCAAUCGGUAGGAGCGACGGGCGGUGUGUACAAAGGGCAGGGACGUAGUCAACGCGAGCUGAUGACUCGCGCUCACUAGGAAUUCCUCGUUGAAGACCAAAAGUUGCAAUGAUCUAUCGCCAUCACGAUGAAAUUUUAAAGAUUACCCGGGCCUUUCGGCCAAGGUGUGAACUCCUUGAAUAUAUCAGUGUAGCGCGCGUGCGGCCCAGAACAUCUAAGGGAAUCACAGAUCUGUUAUUGCCUCAAACUUCCGUGGCCUAAACGGCCAUAGUCCCUCUAAGAAGCCGGCUUUGAAGGGAUGCCUCCACGUAGCUAGUUAGCAGGCUGAUGUCUCGUUCGUCAACGAAAUUAACCAGAAAAAUUGCUCCACCAACUAAGAACGGCCAUGCACCACCACCCGUAGAAUCAAGAAAGAGCUCUCACUCUGUCAAUCCUUACUAUGUAUGAACCUGGUAAGUUUCCCCGUGUUGAAUCAAAUUAAGCCGCAGGCUGCACUCCUGGUGGUGCCCUUCCGUUGAUUCCUUUAAGUUUCAUCCUUGCGACCAUACUCCCCCCGGAACCCAAAAACUUUGAUUUCUCAUAAGGUGCCACCGGAGUCCUAAAAGCAACAUCCGCUGAUCCCUGGUCGGCAUCGUUUAUGGUUGAGACUAGGACGGUAUCUGAACGUCUUCGAGCCCCCAACUUUCUUUCUUGAUGAAUGAAAACAUCCUUGGUAAAUGCUUUCGCAGUUGUUUGUCUUUCAUAAAUCCAAGAAUUUCAUCUCUGACUAUGAAAUACGAAUGCCCCCGACUGU
rnacentral:lncRNA from 1 species